rnacentral:rRNA from 1 species
GAUGAACGCUGGCGGCGUGCCUAAUACAUGCAAGUCGAGCGAACAGACGAGGAGCUUGCUCCUCUGACGUUAGCGGCGGACGGGUGAGUAACACGUGGAUAACCUACCUAUAAGACUGGGAUAACUUCGGGAAACCGGAGCUAAUACCGGAUAAUAUAUUGAACCGCAUGGUUCAAUAGUGAAAGACGGUUUUGCUGUCACUUAUAGAUGGAUCCGCGCCGCAUUAGCUAGUUGGUAAGGUAACGGCUUACCAAGGCAACGAUGCGUAGCCGACCUAAGAGGGUGAUCGGCCACACUGGAACUGAGACACGGUCCAGACUCCUACGGGAGGCAGCAGUAGGGAAUCUUCCGCAAAGGGCGAAAGCCUGACGGAGCAACGCCGCGUGAGUGAUGAAGGUCUUCGGAUCGUAAAACUCUGUUAUUAGGGAAGAACAAAUGUGUAAGUAACUAUGCACGUCUUGACGGUACCUAAUCAGAAAGCCACGGCUAACUACGUG